rnacentral:rRNA from 1 species
AUACGGAGGAUCCGAGCGUUAUCCGGAUUUAUUGGGUUUAAAGGGAGCGUAGGUGGAUUGUUAAGUCAGUUGUGAAAGUUUGCGGCUCAACCGUAAAAUUGCAGUUGAAACUGGCAGUCUUGAGUACAGUAGAGGUGGGCGGAAUUCGUGGUGUAGCGGCGAAAUGCUUAGAUAUCACGAAGAACUCCGAUCGCGAAGGCAGCUCACCGGGCCGGAACUGACACUGAUGCUCGAAAGUGCGGGUAUCAAACAGGAUUAGAUACCCUGGUAGUCCGCACAGUAAACGAUGAAUACUCGCUGUUUGCGAUACACUGUAAGCGGCCAAGCGAAAGCGUUAAGUAUUCCACCUGGGGAGUACGCCGGCAACGGUGAAACUUAAAGGAAUUGACGGGG